AGCUCCAAUAGCGUAUAUUAAAGUUGUUGCAGUUAAAAAGCUCGUAGUUGAAUUUCUGUUUGAUACGUCAAGGGCGACAUAGUCAACCUUGAAGUACAAGCAUUUUUCUACACCUGGUGGUAACAUCAGAGGGUAGAGCCUUUACUUUGAGAAAAUUAGAGUGUUUCAAGCAAGCUUCGCUUUGAAUACUACAGCAUGGAAUAAUACAAUAGGACUUUAGGCCUAUUUGUUGGUUUCAGGCCUGAAGUAAUGAUUAAUAGGGACAGUUGGGGGCAUUCGUAUUGGAUAGUCAGCGGUGAAAUGCGUAGAUUUAUUCAAGACGAACUACUGCGAAAGCAUUUGCCAAAGAUGUUUUCA
rnacentral:rRNA from 1 species